rnacentral:sRNA from 1 species
UAGCAUAAGGUAAAUGAGGCUUAAGCCAAC